AUGGAUGUAGCAGCGCUUCGAUGGCGACUCCACACAAAGGGAAAGAGGAACGGCGGCUCACUGUCCGGCGAGAGCAGUGGAUCAGCAGAUGGAGGAACGGCUGCGUCGGCCAAGCCCGCAACUGAUAACAACAGGCGGGUUAAACCGGACCGGGUCAAACCGCUUGCGCCGGGCGUCCUAGAACCUGACCAGUACAUGUUUUGUCGCCAGGGAUCUCCUUUCUGUAAAAUAGCACGAGAGGCCCUUGUUGAAUUGGAGUUGCCACACUUGCUACACAGUUGUGCUCGUGGCAGGCCCAAGCGACAGGAAAUUUUCAAGAAAAAUGGCCUUUACCAGAUGGCGACCUGGGGUUAUAUGGUAGAGAAGGAAGAACCAGGCCAAGCACCUUAUAUCGAGGAUCCUAAUACAGGGGUCAAGAUGUUCGAAAGCACCGAGAUCGUAGAAUACCUAAGGGCAACAUAUUCACUCUAUCCUCAGUACCAAAAUCUCUGA
rnacentral:rRNA from 1 species